UACGAGAGGCCCAAACGUUAUUCGGAUUUACUGGGCUUAAAGAGUUCGUAGGCGGUGCAGAAAGUGGGGUGUGAAAGCCCUCGGCUCAACCGAGGAAUUGCGCUCCAAACUCCUGUACUCGAGGAAGCUAGAGGUGAGCAGAACUGAUGGUGGAGCGGUGAAAUGCGUAGAUAUCUGGAGGAACACCGGUGGCGAAGGCGGCAUCCUGGACCGGUAUUGACGCUGAGGCGCGAAAGCCAGGGGAGCAAACGGG
rnacentral:rRNA from 1 species